GCUUAACACAUGCAAGUCGAGGGGCAGCAUGGUCUUAGCUUGCUAAGGCCGAUGGCGACCGGCGCACGGGUGAGUAACACGUAUCCAACCUGCCGUCUACUCUUGGACAGCCUUCUGAAAGGAAGAUUAAUACAAGAUGGCAUCAUGAGUCCGCAUGUUCACAUGAUUAAAGGUAUUCCGGUAGACGAUGGGGAUGCGUUCCAUUAGAUAGUAGGCGGGGUAACGGCCCACCUAGUCUUCGAUGGAUAGGGGUUCUGAGAGGAAGGUCCCCCACAUUGGAACUGAGACACGGUCCAAACUCCUACGGGAGGCAGCAGUGAGGAAUAUUGGUCAAUGGGCGAGAGCCUGAACCAGCCAAGUAGCGUGAAGGAUGACUGCCCUAUGGGUUGUAAACUUCUUUUAUAAAGGAAUAAAGUCGGGUAUGGAUACCCGUUUGCAUGUACUUUAUGAAUAAGGAUCGGCUAACUCCGUGCCAGCAGCCGCGGUAAUACGGAGGAUCCGAGCGUUAUCCGGAUUUAUUGGGUUUAAAGGGAGCGUAGAUGGAUGUUUAAGUCAGUUGUGAAAGUUUGCGGCUCAACCGUAAAAUUGCAGUUGAUACUGGAUAUCUUGAGUGCAGUUGAGGCAGGCGGAAUUCGUGGUGUAGCGGUGAAAUGCUUAGAUAUCACGAAGAACUCCGAUUGCGAAGGCAGCCUGCUAAGCUGCAACUGACAUUGAGGCUCGAAAGUGUGGGUAUCAAACAGGAUUAGAUACCCUGGUAGUCCACACGGUAAACGAUGAAUACUCGCUGUUUGCGAUAUACUGCAAGCGGCCAAGCGAAAGCGUUAAGUAUUCCACCUGGGGAGUACGCCGGCAACGGUGAAACUCAAAGGAAUUGACGGGGGCCCGCACAAGCGGAGGAACAUGUGGUUUAAUUCGAUGAUACGCGAGGAACCUUACCCGGGCUUAAAUUGCAGAUGAAUUACGGUGAAAGCCGUAAGCCGCAAGGCAUCUGUGAAGGUGCUGCAUGGUUGUCGUCAGCUCGUGCCGUGAGGUGUCGGCUUAAGUGCCAUAACGAGCGCAACCCUUGUUGUCAGUUACUAACAGGUUCCGCUGAGGACUCUGACAAGACUGCCAUCGUAAGAUGUGAGGAAGGUGGGGAUGACGUCAAAUCAGCACGGCCCUUACGUCCGGGGCUACACACGUGUUACAAUGGGGGGUACAGAGGGCCGCUACCACGCGAGUGGAUGCCAAUCCCAAAAACCUCUCUCAGUUCGGACUGGAGUCUGCAACCCGACUCCACGAAGCUGGAUUCGCUAGUAAUCGCGCAUCAGCCACGGCGCGGUGAAUACGUUCCCGGGCCUUGUACACACCGCCCGUCAAGCCAUGGGAGCCGGGGGUACCUGAAGUGCGUAACCGCGGGGAGCGCCCUAGGGUAAAACUGGUGACUGGGGC
rnacentral:rRNA from 1 species